AACGAACGCUGGCGGCAGGCCUAACACAUGCAAGUCGAGCGAAGCCUUCGGGCUUAGCGGCGGACGGGUGAGUAACGCGUGGGAACGUGCCCUUUGGUACGGAAUAGCCCCGGGAAACUGGGAGUAAUACCGUAUGUGGUCGAGAGACGAAAGAUUUAUCGCCAAAGGAUCGGCCCGCGUUGGAUUAGGUAGUUGGUGGGGUAAUGGCCUGCCAAGCCGACGAUCCAUAGCUGGUUUGAGAGGAUGAUCAGCCACACUGGGACUGAGACACGGCCCAGACUCCUACGGGAGGCAGCAGUGGGGAAUCUUAGACAAUGGGGGAAACCCUGAUCUAGCCAUGCCGCGUGAUCGAUGAAGGCCUUAGGGUUGUAAAGAUCUUUCAGUGGGGAAGAUAAUGACUGUACCCACAGAAGGAGCCCCGGCUAACUCCGUGCCAGCAGCCGCAGUAACAC
rnacentral:rRNA from 1 species